UGAAGCUCCACCCACAACAUGUUACUGGUCACAUGAUGGGGACAUCAUCAAAGGUCCUUCACCUUCAUCAUUUGGUCGGCAGGGGAUUUGCUGCUCUGGAGGCCUCUAACUCUGUAACCAUGGUGCCUCCAGCUGUUGCAAAACUAUAACUCCAAGCAAGCCCGGACAUCCAUUCUGUACUCAAUACAGGGAAGAUAAGAUGUCUGCUCCCAUUCACCUGUGGCUGGAGGAGCAGAUGACAGCGAUUCCAGGUGGUCACGAAGUUUCUAUGAAGCUUAUUCCAAGGUGAAAUCCUUAUGAAUCCUUCCCUUAUCUGUUCACCGGGACCAUAUAUCAAAUUUAUCACCAUUAUAACACGAUUUUUAGGCUCCUAUGUAAUUAUUUGGAGAACGUGCGUCUUGUACAUGAAAGUCUGAG